rnacentral:rRNA from 1 species
UACGAGGGGGGCAAGCGUUGUUCGGAAUUAUUGGGCGUAAAGGGCGCGUAGGCGGUGCGGUAAGUCACCUGUGAAACCUCUAGGCUUAACCUAGAGCCUGCAGGCGAAACUGCCGUGCUGGAGUGUGGGAGAGGUGCGUGGAAUUCCCGGUGUAGCGGUGAAAUGCGUAGAUAUCAAGCGGAACACCGGUGGCGAAGGCGGCCUUCUGGACGAUGACUGACGCUGAGACGCGAAAGCGUGGGGAGCAAACAGG